GCGGCCAUGGCUCACGGGCCCAGCCGCUCCACAGCACGUGGGAUCUUCCCGGACCGGGGCACGAACCUGUGUCCCCUGCAUCGGCAGGCGGACUCUCAACCACUGCGCCACCAGGGAAGCCCAAGGAAAUGUUUUAAAGAUCAACUGAUUAAAGGCACAGGGGCUCAGCAAUCUACCACCAUGUUCUUAAUAGGAAACACCCACUGGCUUGAAGGGAAAAAAGCCACCUUGGUAAGCCUUGGUCUUCCACAGGGCACAGAACCAGAGGACACUAGCAAGGUCAAAGCCCACGUGACCAAUCCUGGUAGAGCAGGACUUCUUCACAUAAGAUGCCUGGGUCCGAGAAAGAUCUACCAACACCCUAAACUUCCAAGAAAAAAACUGGAGUGUAUGCAUGUUUGUUUUCCUGGGGAAAGGGUCCUUCCCUUCGCAUAGAUCCAAGAGUCGGUUAAAAUCCUGAGCUAGAGAAAAGCACUAAGCCAGCUGCAAAGAUGAUAAUAAGGAAGCUACCAGAUACACCCAGAGCCAGCCAGUCGGAGAGCUCACUAAGCCGUCACGGAAGUUAGAACACAGACUCACAGCAGACAACAGGGCAUUGUUUUUGUGCGCUUCUUUCUAAUUGUAUUUCAAGUUCUUUCUAAAACAAGGCCCUUGGAUACCCCAGGUUCAAUAUGCCCCUGGGCCUGGUCCACUGCUGUCUUGUAUUCAUAUGUGGGUAUUUGUUCGUUCACCAACAUUAAAUCCCAGGAUAGGUGUGAUAAAACAGGACUCCCUCCUCCAUGGCACAAGUCCUUUGCUGGUUUGAGGUGGAUGGCGGUCUUCGCAGAAAACACACAGGAACUUUUUCUUGGAACUGAAGUGGGAUGAAAAGUGCCUGCCCUGAACAUCACCAUCUUUUCCCUGACCCUUCCCCUCCAGUUUCUGAAGAUACAGCAGAAAAUAAUCUUGCUUGAAGAUACUGGGUAACAAUUCCAUAAAACAAAAACACAUGCUUCCAAUGCACUGUGCUUUCAGAUGUGCUGAGGAAGAAAAACACAAUUUCAUUAAUUCAAAUGCAACUUGGCACCUAAGAGUAAUCACAAUAAAGAGCAAUUUCAAAGAA